GCGGUCUUGUGGGGAAGCAUACCACGUACAGCCUUUUGGAAAAUACGAGAGGGUGCGCGGAAAUGGAAAGCACCACGACUAGGGUUGUAACGGCAUGCCUUGCGCAAAUAAGCAAGGUACUUAAGUUUGUUACGGAAAAAGUGACCAGAGAUGUUCAAUUCCUCGCAACGAACCACUACAACUUUUUGCCCACCCAAAAGCUGCUUAGCAACGACCGAUGCCAAACGACCGAGAAGAUGGCUAUUCAUGUUAGUAUUACAGCUUUAAAUUUAUUCUGUUUACAUACCCUUUGGCGUCAAUAACAACAACUUU